rnacentral:tRNA from 1 species
AAGGAUUUAAGUUAAAAACAAACUACCAACCUUCAAAGUUGUAAAUAAAGAAAUCCCUCCUUUAAGCCUUA